UGACUGCAACAUAUGCUUAGACUCAGUUCAAGAUCCUGUUGUAACACUUUGUGGUCAUCUCUUCUGUUGGCCUUGCAUUUAUAAAUGGCUUCAUUACAAUAACUUAUCUGCACAGCAACAAUGCGAACCAGAGGAAUGCCGUUGCCCCGUUUGCAAGGCCGAAGUCUCCCACACAACUCUCAUCCCGCUCUACGGAGAAUUCCAGACUAAAAAUGCCUCCAAAGCUAAAGCACCAUCAAAUCUUGGCCCAACCAUCCCUCGGAGGCCACUUGGCCGUGCCUGUGGAACAGAGGCACCAGCAUCUCCAAGUCCCCGACUUCAUCCUCACAACUAUUCUCCUCAGUCACACUCAUACUACUCACGAACACAAAACGACUACAUCGCAUCGUCGAUGCUCAGCUCAAGCAGUAUCACAACAAACAUUAUCCAUCCAGUGAUCGGAAUGUUCGGUGACGCGAUUUACGCAAGAACAUUCGGAAACACAACAACAAACCUAUACACUUAUCCAAAUUCAUAUGGUCAUGUGAGCAACAGUAGUGUAAGGCUAAGGAGGCACAUAAUGCAGGCUGAUGAAUCACUAAGCAGAAUCUGUUUCUUCCUUUUUUGCUGCUUAGUUAUAUGUCUUCUGUUAUUCUAAGUAGAUCCCUUUAGAUCAUUUCUAGCCAUUGGAUGUAGAUUAUACACAUAAAGCAUGUAAUUAUGAGCUUAGUGUAAAAAAAGGGUACAUCAUAAUGAAAA
rnacentral:misc_RNA from 1 species